UAAUUUUGAAUUUUGAAUUUUGUAGAGAUGGGGCCUCCCUGUGUUGCCCAGGCUGGAAUGCAGUGGCUACUCAUAGACCCCAUCAUUGCACACUACAGCCUUGACCUCCUAGGCCGAAGGAAUCCUCCCACCUCAGCCUCCUGAGUAGCCGGAACUAUAGGUGCAUGCCACCAUGCCUGGCCACCUGCUGGAGUUUAAGCAGAUGGUAGGAUGGGUGGCUGGUCCCUAAAGACACUCAUCUUUUAAUCUUUGAAACCUGUGGAUAUGCUACCUUCUAGGGAAAAAAAGGACUUGGCAGAUGUUAGUAAGCAUCUUAAAAUGGAAAAGUUGUCCUAGACUACCUGAAUGGGCCCAAUGUCAUCGUGAGGUCCUUAUAAGAGGGAGGCAGGAGGGUCAGAGACAAAGACAAUGAUGUGAUGAUGGGGACAGAAGUGUGGGUGUGCGAGAGAGGAGCAGAGGGGUUGAAGAUGCACCUCUGCUGCUGGCUUUGCAGACAGAGGAAGGGGCUUUAAGCCAAAGAACAUAGGCAGCCUCUAGAAGCCUAAAAAGGACAUGCAUUCUCCCCUAUGCCCUCCACAAGGAAAAGUAGCCCUGCCAGCCCAUUUCUGACUUCUGACCUCCAGAACAGUGAGAUGAUCUGUGCUAUGUAAAGCCACUCCGCUUGCGGGUAUAACUGGUAACAGCAGCAAUAGGAAAGCAUACAGGCUGCAAGGAUGAAAAUCCUCGAGAACAACUGCUAUCACAUUUAAUUAUUAUUAUUAUUAUUAUUUUUUUUUUGAGAUGGAGUUUCACUCUUGUCGCUC